rnacentral:lncRNA from 1 species
CCAAGCAUAUCGUUUGAUGCACCUCUCAUAUUCUCGGGCAUCGCAUGACCCUCGUUCUUUUCAAUCUUCACCUGAAAUGGUUAGAGACCAAAAAUACCCGAAGGUACACACUAUCCUAAAAACACGUUCUUGCUCUUAUUGAACUUUAUUGGAAAGGGAAAUGAAUAUCCGGGUCAUCUCCCGGUAGUGCUUUGUUUAUGGUCAAAAGCUCAA